GGGUAUGAGGGCAAUCUGGCUGCAACAUCUGUCACCCCAUUGAUCGCCAGGGUUGAUUCAACUGAUCUGGCUGGCUAGGCAGGUGUCCCCUUCCUCCCUCACCACUCCAUGUGCUUCCCUGGGUGCUCGGUUGAAGAGGACGACCAUCCCCAAAAGAGGAAGACAGUUCUUCGGUCAAGGGUGUAUGAGUAGCUGAGCUCCCCUGCUAGAACCCCCAAACAAACUCUCAGGUUCCAUGCAUUUGGCCCUUAUCCAACCACUCAACCUCUCCCCUUUUAGGAGUACUGUCCUUGUUUAG
rnacentral:snRNA from 1 species